rnacentral:rRNA from 1 species
GAUGAACGCUGGCGGCGUGCCUAAUACAUGCAAGUCGAGCGAACGGACGAGAAGCUUGCUUCUCUGAUGUUAGCGGCGGACGGGUGAGUAACACGUGGAUAACCUACCUAUAAGACUGGGAUAACUUCGGGAAACCGGAGCUAAUACCGGAUAAUAUUUUGAACCGCAUGGUUCAAAAGUGAAAGACGGUCUUGCUGUCACUUAUAGAUUGACCCGCGCUGCAUUAGCUAGUGGGUAAGGUAACGGCUUACCAAGGCAACGAUGCAUAGCCGACCUGAGAGGGUGAUCGGCCACACUGGAACUGAGACACGGUCCAGACUCCUACGGGAGGCAGCAGUAGGGAAUCUUCCGCAAUGGGCGAAAGCCUGACGGAGCAACGCCGCGUGAGUGAUGAAGGUCUUCGGAUCGUAAAACUCUGUUAUUAGGGAAGAACAUAUGUGUAAGUAACUGUGCACAUCUUGACGGUACCUAAUCAGAAAGCCACGGUUAACUACGUG